rnacentral:rRNA from 1 species
GACAGAGGUGCCGAGCGUUAGGCGGAAUCACUGGGCUUAAGGCGUGUGUAGGCGGACCGUUUAAGUACCUUGUGAAAUCCCCCGGCUCAACCCGGGGAACGGCUGGGUAUACUGGCGGUCUUGAGCCAUCCAGGGGCAGUCGGAACAGACGGUGGAGCGGUGAAAUGCGUAGAUAUCGUCUGGAACGCCGGAAGGUGAAAACAGACUGCUGGGGA